AGAGUUUGAUCCUGGCUCAGGAUGAACGCUAGCUACAGGCUUAACACAUGCAAGUCGAGGGGCAGCAUUGGAGUAGCAAUACUUCAGAUGGCGACCGGCGCACGGGUGAGUAACACGUAUCCAACCUGCCGCUUACUCGGGGAUAGCCUUUCGAAAGAAAGAUUAAUACCCGAUGGUAUAAAGAGUUCGCAUGUUCUCUUUAUUAAAGAAUUUCGGUAAGCGAUGGGGAUGCGUUCCAUUAGAUAGUUGGCGGGGUAACGGCCCACCAAGUCUACGAUGGAUAGGGGUUCUGAGAGGAAGGUCCCCCACAUUGGAACUGAGACACGGUCCAAACUCCUACGGGAGGCAGCAGUGAGGAAUAUUGGUCAAUGGACGAGAGUCUGAACCAGCCAAAGUAGCGUGAAGGAUGACUGCCCUAUGGGUUGUAAACUUCUUUUAUAAGGGAAUAAAGUGAGGGACGUGUCCCUUUUUGUAUGUACCUUAUGAAUAAGGAUCGGCUAACUCCGUGCCAGCAGCCGC
rnacentral:rRNA from 1 species